rnacentral:tRNA from 1 species
GGGUAGCAGCUCAGUGAUAGAGCACAUGCUUUUCAAGCAUGAAGCUCUGGAUUCAAUCCCUGGCCCU